GAGGGAUCAUUACACAAAUAUGAAGGCGGGCUGGAACCUCUCGGGGUUACAGCCUUGCUGAAUUAUUCACCCUUGUCUUUUGCGUACUUCUUGUUUCCUUGGUGGGUUCGCCCACCACUAGGACAAACAUAAACCUUUUGUAAUUGCAAUCAGCGUCAGUAACAAAUUAAUAAUUACAACUUUCAACAACGGAUCUCUUGGUUCUGGCAUCGAUGAAGAACGCAGCGAAAUGCGAUAAGUAGUGUGAAUUGCAGAAUUCAGUGAAUCAUCGAAUCUUUGAACGCACAUUGCGCCCUUUGGUAUUCCAAAGGGCAUGCCUGUUCGAGCGUCAUUUGUACCCUCAAGCUUUGCUUGGUGUUGGGCGUCUUGUCUCUAGCUUUGCUGGAGACUCGCCUUAAAGUAAUUGGCAGCCGGCCUACUGGUUUCGGAGCGCAGCACAAGUCGCACUCUCUAUCAGCAAAGGUCUAGCAUCCAUUAAGCCUUUUUUCAACUUUUGACCUCGGAUCAGGUAGGGAUACCCGCUGA
rnacentral:rRNA from 1 species